AAGUCGUAACAAGGUUUCCGUAGGUGAACCUGCGGAAGGAUCAUUAACACGUUUACCAAACUGUAUCAACCCCGUAUCAACCGUGCUCUGUUGUUUUGUGUUUUUCCUUUUUUUUCGAUUCUCUGUUUUCGAACUAAGAAAAGAAAAGAAGGAAAAAGGUAUGGUGUUCUCUUUGAGCGAUCGGAGAUCGAGCACUAUUCCUCAACCCCAUUUUUUAAACCUUUAUAAACCCCAUAACAACAUGCCCAUCGUGGUACUAAAUCUUGAGUCACCGAGGAAGCGGGAUUUGAAAUGACCUAAGAAAAGAAAACUUUUUUUUCAAAAAAGUGUUGCCUUCUUUUCUUGAUUUUCUCCUGCAUCAUUUCCGAGGAUCAUGACUUACUUUUACGGCUUAAACGCCACUGUACAACUCUUAGCAACGGAUAUCUUGGUUCUC
rnacentral:misc_RNA from 1 species